UGGUAUUUUUAUGAAUUAAAGGAUUUGUCAUUAAGUUUGAAGAGUUCAAAUGAUUGCGAACAAGACCAGCCUUCACUUGAACUUUGGACUUUUAUGGUUCUUGACAAUAUACGACACUCAUUGCCUGAUAUUUAUGUCACAAAAUCGUCAUGAAAUCAAUAAAUAUAGAUAACUUAUCGACAAUUAAACUGCUUUAUAUCAUUCUAGAAGACGUUCUUUGCCUACCUGUAUUUGUUUCGUGCGUGCUAACUCCACCGAAAAGCCUUCGCCACAAUAAACCUUGUGUUCUCACGACUUGCAAACUGGCCGCCAUCUUGCC